rnacentral:rRNA from 1 species
AUUGAACGCUGGCGGCAUGCCUUACACAUGCAAGUCGAACGGUAACAGGUCUUCGGAUGCUGACGAGUGGCGAACGGGUGAGUAAUACAUCGGAACGUGCCCGAUCGUGGGGGAUAACGGAGCGAAAGCUUUGCUAAUACCGCAUACGAUCUACGGAUGAAAGCAGGGGACCGCAAGGCCUUGCGCGGACGGAGCGGCCGAUGGCAGAUUAGGUAGUUGGUGGGAUAAAAGCUAACCAAGCCGACGAUCUGUAGCUGGUCUGAGAGGACGACCAGCCACACUGGGACUGAGACACGGCCCAGACUCCUACGGGAGGCAGCAGUGGGGAAUUUUGGACAAUGGGCGAAAGCCUGAUCCAGCCAUGCCGCGUGCAGGAUGAAGGCCUUCGGGUUGUAAACUGCUUUUGUACGGAACGAAAAGCCUCUUUCUAAUAAAGAGAGGUCAUGACGGUACCGUAAGAAUAAGCACCGGCUAACUACGUGCCAGCAGCCGCCGUAAGAC